rnacentral:lncRNA from 1 species
AACAAUACUCUUCACCAAUAGAAACGUGGGAGUUUGAGUAACAACUUUGUCAACAAACAGCUGAUGUGACGGAACAAGUCAACAACUUGAAUGAAAAGUUCGACAAAUUUCUAGAGAGAUGUGAUUCCAAGAGAUAUGAAGUUAACUUCAAGAAUUUGGAGACACAAACUGAUGAGGUUGUUGAUGAGGAGAAGGUGGAGUGAGAAGUGGAAAAGAUAGAAGAGGAGAAAAUAGAGGAAGAUGAAGCAGAAAAGUUGAGUAAGGGAGAUAAAAAUGAUGAUAAGGAAAAAAGAAGUGGUUCAAUGAAAAGAAAAAAAAGAAAAAAAUAAGAGAAAAGAAAAAGAGAAAGUUGAGGGAGGAAAAGAUAAAGAAAAAGAGGAAGAGGGGAAAGAAGAAAAGAUCAUAUGAAAAAACCCUUCCUCAUAAAAAGAAAAAUCAUACGAAGGAAAAGAAGUUCAAGUAUUGUAUGGAGAUCUUCAAGAAAUUGGAAAUUAAAGUUCGUAUGGUUGAAACUUGGAAACAUGUGCUUGGUGUUCUCAAUUUUAUGAAGAGAUUCAACAGGAAGAAGAAAAAGAAAAGACUAUUAAGAAGGAAGGAU